rnacentral:rRNA from 1 species
AUUGAACGCUGGCGGCAGGCCUAACACAUGCAAGUCGAGCGAGCGGCGGACGGGUGAGUAAUGUAUGGGGACUGCCCGAUAGAGGGGGAUAACUACUGGAAACGGUGGCUAAUACCGCAUACUAUCGGAUAACCCAUAUGGGAUUAGAUAGUGGGUGGGGUAAAGGCUCACCUAGGCGACGAUCUCUAGCUGGUCUGAGAUGAUGAUCAGCCACAUGGGGACUGUGACACGGCCCAUACUCCUACGGAGGCAGCAGUGGGGAAUAUUGCACAAUGGGCGCAAGCCUGAUACAGGCAGGCCGCGUGUAUGGAGAAGGCCUUAGGGUUGUAAAGUACUUUCAGCGGGGAGGCGUUACCCGCAGAAGAAGCAACGGCUAACUCCGUGCCAGCCGCCGCGGUAAUUC